CGUGAAAUUGUUGAAAGGGAAGCGUUUAUGACCAGACUUGGGCUUGGUUAAUCAUCUGGGGUUCUCCCCAGUGCACUUUUCCAGUUCAGGCCAGCAUCAGUUUUCCCCGGGGGAUAAAGGCGGCGGGAAUGUGGCUCUCUUCGGGGAGUGUUAUAGCCCGCCGUGUAAUACCCUGGGGGGGACUGAGGUUCGCGCAUCUGCAAGGAUGCUGGCGUAAUGGUCAUCAACG
rnacentral:rRNA from 1 species